GAUGAACGCUGGCGGCGUGCCUAACACAUGCAAGUCGAACGGAGAUUACGGACGGAAGUUUUCGGAUGGAAGACUGUAAUUCUUAGUGGCGGACGGGUGAGUAACGCGUGGGUAACCUGCCCUAUACAGGGGGAUAGCAGCUGGAAACGGCUGGUAAGACCGCAUAAGUCGGCGAGACCGCAUGGUUUUGCCGGGAAAUGAGCAAUCAGGUAUAGGAUGGGCCCGCGUCCGAUUAGCCAGUUGGCAGGGUAAAAGCCUACCAAAGCAACGAUCGGUAGCCGGACUGAGAGGUCGGACGGCCACAUUGGGACUGAGACACGGCCCAAACUCCUACGGGAGGCAGCAGUGGGGGAUAUUGCACAAUGGAGGAAACUCUGAUGCAGCGACGCCGCGUGAGUGAAGAAGUAUUUCGGUAUGUAAAGCUCUAUCAGCAGGGAAGAUGAUGACGGUACCUGACUAAGAAGCCCCGGCUAACUACGUG
rnacentral:rRNA from 1 species